CUGAUGGAUUAGUUAUCAGCCUCCCGAUUCUCCUCACCCUGGAUUAUUUCCGAACACUUUGGAGGCAUUUAUUUUCAGGUACACCAGUGAAAACAAUGGGCCCAACUUUUUCCAGGUGACAGUCAAGUGAUCAUUGUCACCAGCACACUCGACCUUAUGAACAUAAGCUGGGGGCUGCAACCAUUUCCAGGGAAGAUCUGCAAGUAAGAGGAAACUUCUUUUGCCAUGGAGGCCAACCCUGUGAGGUGGAGACUAUCGUUGCCAUCAUACCCACCCAACAGAUGAGGAGACUGAGGCUUAGGGAGAGAUGAACUGGCUCCAGGUCACAUGGCCAGGAAUUGGGGUUAGAAGCCAGGUCUGCCGGACUCCAGAGGACAGAGACUCAACCUCUAUGCUCUUCGGCCUCCCUGUGUUGUCUGUUCAGCGCUAACACUCUGUGAUGUUUCUGAGUUUCUCCUGGUCAACCAUAAGGGAGAGACUCUGUCCUUUACUGGAGAGACCGUGUGCCCUUUAUCCAGCCUCAGCCCACACCACGCCUGGCACAGACAGGGUGCUCAAUGAAUAUUUAUGGAAUAAAGGGCA